rnacentral:rRNA from 1 species
GGGGAAUAUUGCACAAUGGAGGGAACUCUGAUGCAGCGACGCCGCGUGAGUGAAGAAGGUCUUCGGAUCGUAAAACUCUGUCCUUGGUGACGAAGAAAAUGACGGUAGCCAAGGAGGAAGCCCCGGCUAACUACGUGCCAGCAGCCGCGGUAAUACGUAGGGGGCGAGCGUUGUCCGGAUUUACUGGGCGUAAAGGGUGAGUAGGCGGUUAUAUAUGUCAGGUGUAAAAAGCUAUGGCUUAACCAUAGUAAGCACUUGAAACUGUAUGACUUGAGUGCAGGAGAGGUAAGCGGAAUUCCUAGUGUAGCGGUGAAAUGCGUAGAUAUUAGGAGGAACACCGGUGGCGAAGGCGGCUUACUGGACUGUAACUGACGCUGAGUCACGAAAGCGUGGGUAGCAAAC